GACGAACGCUGGCGGCGUGCCUAAUACAUGCAAGUCGAGCGAAUCAAUGGGAGCUUGCUCCCUGAGAUUAGCGGCGGACGGGUGAGUAACACGUGGGUAACCUGCCUGUAAGACUGGGAUAACUUCGGGAAACCGGAGCUAAUACCGGAUAGUUUCUUUUCUCGCAUGAGAGAAGAUGGAAAGAUGGUUCUGCUAUCACUUACAGAUGGACCCGCGGCGCAUUAGCUAGUUGGUGAGGUAACGGCUCACCAAGGCAACGAUGCGUAGCCGACCUGAGAGGGUGAUCGGCCACACUGGGACUGAGACACGGCCCAGACUCCUACGGGAGGCAGCAGUAGGGAAUCUUCCGCAAUGGACGAAAGUCUGACGGAGCAACGCCGCGUGAGCGAAGAAGGCCUUCGGGUCGUAAAGCUCUGUUGUUAGGGAAGAACAAGUACGAGAGUAACUGCUCGUACCUUGACGGUACCUAACCAGAAAGCCACGGCUAACUACGUGCCAGCAGCCCGCGGUAAUACGUAGGUGGCAAGCGUUGUCCCGGAAUUAUUGGGCGUA
rnacentral:rRNA from 1 species